rnacentral:misc_RNA from 1 species
UCCGGCUUGUCACCGGCAGUCUCCUUAGAGUUCCCAGCAUAACCUGUUGGCAACUAAGAAUAGGGGUUGCGCUCGUUACGGGACUUAACCCAACAUCUCACGACACGAGCUGACGACAGCCAUGCGGCACCUGUCUCUCGGUUCCCGAAGGCACCCCUCUAUCUCUAAAAGGUUCCGAGGACGUCAAGGGUAGGUAAGGUUCUUCGCGUUGCGUCGAAUUAAACCACAUGCUCCACCGCUUGUGCGGGCCCCCGUCAAUUCCUUUGAGUUUCAACCUUGCGGUCGUACUCCCCAGGCGGGGUACUUCCUGCGUUAGCGCCGGCACCCAGAGGGUCGCUCCCCCAGGCACCUAGUACCCAUCGUUUACGGCGUGGACUAC